AUGGCCGCGCCGUUUCUGCUCCUUCUUCUGCUCGUCGUCUCUGGGGGCGCUGCAGCGGGCGGCGACGACGAGGCGUGGCUUUCCCGGCUCGAGCUCCGAGGCAUCGAUGACCCGGGCCGUGGGCACGCGUCCGUCGCGCCGGAGGAGGAGGUGUUCAUGGACGUUAUUAUCGCCACUGACGACGACGAGGCGGGCGAAACGCCCCGACUCGAGUUCCGUGGCAUCGACGAUUCGGGCCGUGGGCACGCGUCCGUCGCGCCGGAGGAGCCGGUGUUCACGGCCCGUGUCUCCACGGACGACGACGAAGCGCCUCGGCUCCAGUUCCGAGGCAUCGACGGCUCGGGCCAUGGGCACGCGUCCGACGCGCCGAAGCAGCAGGCGUUCGUGGACGUUAUGUCCGCCAACGGAUGCGCGAGGUUCGCGGGCCUCCUCGCCGCGACGGCGAACGCGGGCGAGAUCUUCCAGCAGCGCCUCCUCGACGGCCGCGGCCGCGGGCUCACUGUCUUCUGCCCCGACGACCUCGCGGUGGCGACGUUCACGCCCAAGUUCGACAGCCUGAGCGCCGACGACCAGCUCGCCGUCCUGCUUCACCACGGCGCGGGGGCGCGCUACCGGAGGGAGCAGUUCCAGGCGUUCGACUGGGUGUGGGUGGGCUCGCUGGCCACCGACGCGGCCACCAACAAGAGCCACGCCAUCACCAUCCGCGACGACGGGGACACGGUGCGGCUGUGGCCGUCGUGCGGGAGCGGCGCUGGGGUGAAGGUGACCAAGACGGUGUCCGAAGAAGCCCCCUCGCCGUGUACGUCGUCGACGCCGUGCUGCUGCCGAGCCACCUGCGACAGAAGCUGGAUGGCGGCGACGAGCCGGCUGCUGCGUGCAAGCCGUGCGGUGGCUAUCUCCGCUGGCUCCACUGCUGCAUCCCGGCCUGGGUAA
rnacentral:rRNA from 1 species